AAGCCGCGAGGUGGAGCUAAUCCCAUAAAACCGAUCGUAGUCCGGAUCGCAGUCUGCAACUCGACUGCGUGAAGUCGGAAUCGCUAGUAAUCGCGAAUCAGAAUGUCGCGGUGAAUACGUUCCCGGGCCUUGUACACACCGCCCGUCACACCAUGGGAGUGGGUUGCACCAGAAGUAGCUAGUCUAACCUUCGGGAGGACGGUUACCACGGUGUGAUUCAUGACUGGGGUGAAGUCGUAACAAGGUAGCCGUAGGGGAACCUGCGGCUGGAUCACCUCCUUAAUCGACGACA
rnacentral:rRNA from 1 species